rnacentral:rRNA from 2 species
GAUGAACGCUGGCGGCGCGCCUAACACAUGCAAGUCGAACGGUUAAAGCACCUUUUAGGUGUGUAUAAAGUGGCGAACGGCUGAGUAACACGUGGGCAACCUGCCCUCCUCUUGGGGAUAGCCUCGGGAAACCGAGGAUAAUACCCGAUACUUCAAUGUGGCCGCAUGACGACAUUGAGAAAGCUUUUGCGGAGAAGGAUGGGCCCGCGGCCUGUUAGCUUGUUGGUGGGGUAGAGGCCUACCAAGGCAAUGAUGGGUAGCUGGGUUGAGAGACCGACCAGCCAGAUUGGGACUGAGACACGGCCCAGACUCCUACGGGAGGCAGCAGUGGGGAAUCUUGCACAAUGGGCGAAAGCCUGAUGCAGCGACGCCGCGUGCGGGACGAAGGCCUUUCGGGUUGUAAACCGCUUUCCAGCAGGGACGAGGCGAAAGUGACGUACCC